rnacentral:rRNA from 1 species
GAUGAACGCUGGCGGCGUGCCUAAUACAUGCAAGUCGAGCGAACGGACGAGAAGCUUGCUUCUCUGAUGUUAGCGGCGGACGGGUGAGUAACACGUGGAUAACCUACCUAUAAGACUGGGAUAACUUCGGGAAACCGGAGCUAAUACCGGAUGAUAUUUUGAACCGCAUGGUUCAAAAGUUAAAGACGGUCUUGCUGUCACUUAUAGAUGGAUCCGCGCUGCAUUAGCUAGUUGGUAAGGUAACGGCUUACCAAGGCAACGAUGCAUAGCCGACCUGAGAGGGUGAUCGGCCACACUGGAACUGAGACACGGUACAGACUCCUACGGGAGGCAGCAGUAGGGAAUCUUCCGCAAUGGGCGAAAGCCUGACGGAGCAACGCCGCGUGAGUGAUGAAGGUCUUCGGAUCGUAAAACUCUGUUAUUAGGGAAGAACAUAUGUGUAAGUAACUGUGCACAUCUUGACGGUACCUAAUCAGAAAGCCACGGCUAACUACGUG